rnacentral:rRNA from 1 species
UUUAUGGAGAGUUUGAUCCUGGCUCAGGAUGAACGCUGGCGGCGUGCCUAAUACAUGCAAGUCGAGCGAACGGACGAGAAGCUUGCUUAUCUGAUGUUAGCGGCGGACGGGUGAGUAACACGUGGAUAACCUACCUAUAAGACUGGGAUAACUUCG